rnacentral:rRNA from 1 species
AACGAACGCUGGCGGCGCGCCUAAUACAUGCAAGUCGAGCGAGAAGACGUAGCAAUACGUUUGUAAAGCGGCGAACGGGUGAGGAAUACAUGGGUAACCUACCCUCGAGUGGGGAAUAACGUAGCCGAAAGGUUAGCUAAUACCGCGUACGCUCCUUGGACUUCGGUUCGAGGGAGGAAAGCGAUACCGUGGGUAUCGCGCUCUUGGAUGGGCUCAUGUCCUAUCAGCUUGUUGGGAGGUAACGGCUCACCAAGGCUUCGACGGGGUAGCUGGUCUGAGAGGACGAUCAGCCACACUGGCACUGCGACACGGGCCA